rnacentral:rRNA from 1 species
CAUGUCUAGUAUAAGCAUUAUACCGCGAAACUGCGAAUGGCUCAUUAUAUAAGUUAUCGUUUAUUUGAUAGUACCUUACUACUUGGAUAACCGUGGUAAUUCUAGAGCUAAUACAUGCUAAAAAUCCCGACUUCGGAAGGGAUGUAUUUAUUAGAUUAAAAACCAAUGCCCUUCGGGGCUCACUGGUGAUUCAUGAUAACUCCUCGAAUCGCAUGGCCUUGUGCCGGCGAUGGUUCAUUCAAAUUUCUUCCCUAUCAACUUUCGAUGUUUGGGUAUUGGCCAAACAUGGUUGCAACGGGUAACGGAGGGUUAGGGCUCGACCCCGGAGAAGGAGCCUGAGAAACGGCUACUACAUCCAAGGAAGGCAGCAGGCGCGCAAAUUACCCAAUCCCGACACGGGGAGGUAGUGACAAUAAAUACUGAUACAGGGCUCUUUUGGGUCUUGUAAUUGGAAUGAGUACAAUUUAAAUCCCUUAACGAGGAACAAUUGGAGGGCAAGUCUGGUGCCAGCAGCCGCGGUAAUUCCAGCUCCAAUAGCGUAUAUUAAAGUUGUUGUGGUUAAAAAGCUCGUAGUUGAACCUUGGGCCUGGCUGGCCGGUCCGCCUCACCGCGUGUACUGGUCCGGCCGGGCCUUUCCCUCUGUGGAACCCCAUGCCCUUCACUGGGUGUGGCGGGGAAACAGGACUUUUACUGUGAAAAAAUUAGAGUGCUCCAGGCAGGCCUAUGCUCGAAUACAUUAGCAUGGAAUAAUAGAAUAGGACGUGUGGUUCUAUUUUGUUGGUUUCUAGGACCGCCGUAAUGAUUAAUAGGGACAGUCGGGGGCAUCAGUAUUCAAUUGUCAGAGGUGAAAUUCUUGGAUUUAUUGAAGACUAACUACUGCAAAAGCAUUUGCCAAGAAUGUUUUCAUUAAUCAGGAACGAAAGUUAGGGGAUCGAAGACGAUCAGAUACCGUCGUAGUCUUAACCAUAAACUAUGCCGACUAGGGAUCGGACGGUGUUAUUUUUUGACCCGUUCGGCACCUUACGAAAAAUCAAAGUGCUUGGGCUCCAGGGGGAGUAUGUCCCAAGGCUGAAACUUAAAGAAUUUGACGGAAGGGCCCCACCAGGGUGGGAGCCUGGGGCUUAAUUUGACCCCACCCGGGGGAACCUACCAGGCCCGGACCCACUGGGGGUUGACAGAUGAAAACCUUUUCUUGAUUUUGGGGGGGGGGUCCAUGGCCGUUCUUAGGUGGG